GCAGAGAGAACCUUUUAUUUUAACGUCCCAAUCGAGAGAAACAGUUUUUUUUAUCAGAUACCAAAGAGCUGCUGCCCUCCCUCAGAUGCAGCGGACUAAUCUCGAACUAAAAACAUGAACGUUGGCCAUUUUUUUCAGGCGAGUCGACACCCAUGAUUACGUCUGUCGAACGCUUGGCUUUAGUCGCCGGUAUAUUACAACUCCCGAUUUGAUGUAAUCCAAUAUCUGAGCUUGUAAUUUCAGAUGUCUGGUGAUUAUUUUUUCCCUUUUCUAAAUUUUCUAAUGAUAAAUCUAAAGAAUAUAUGUGUGUUCAAGGACAGAGGACGAAAUAGCCUAUGGGUUAAAGUCUCGAUGAAUGUUGUUUGACUGCCCUGUCACGUCAACACCACCCAGCCAAAAUAACCGUGUGAUUCGCGCCGUUGAUAAAAACUUUUUUUUUUUAAAAAGGACGAGACAAUCGACAAUACAAACUAACCAACCGGUUUUAAACAAAAAUCUAAUAUUCAUAGACACAGCAGAACUUAGGCUCAAUUCAGCUAUCACAGCAGGGGACGAACUAGUUUGGGCCAGUUCGUUGUCGUACGCAAGAUUUGAUGGAUGACCAGCUUCUGGAAUGGAUGGACGGAAACGAGUUUAUGGGUUCUUGAACCAGAGGAUAUUUUCUCGAGGGUUCCAUUCUUGUUGGAUGCGUUCCCAAGUGGGCAAAAGAGAUAGCCAGGGUGUGGUUAUCUUAACAUCUAUGAAGAAACAAGACAUCGAUAAGACAAUUUUUUCAACAAGGAUUUCACAACAUUUUUCUUUUGAGAGGGGGGUUGCUUUAAGCUAAAUUUUUUUCUGUCAAUCGCUAUAGCGGAAUUUUAUUUAAUACUUGAAAGUUGUAAUUUGGUUACUAUUAUGUAACAGAUUGAUGUAAUUUUCCCAUGAGAUGAACUUACUUUUGCUUUAACAGUGACUAAAUCAGAAUUGACUCUUAUUUAUGACAUUUAUAAUUUACGCAAGGUAUUUUAUAUCUGCCCAAAAAAUACUGAUAAGAGUUUUGUUAUAGAAAUAGAAAGUACAGUGUGCAAAAUGUGUAUAUUCAAGAUAAUAGGCUCGCAAUUUUCUAUUUUUCAGAUUAAAUC